GAGUCCGUUCCUCUUUUUAUUUCUCUGUGAGUGAUGGAUAAGGAUGCUUCGACUGGUGGUGGAGGGAAGGUAUUUGAUCAUGUUGAUGAUUCUGGUGAUGCUGUGUUUUCUGGUUUGGGGAAUUUAUCUUCUAAUAUGACAGAUGAUGCUGAUGAGUCAGCUGACAAGACUAUAAGAGAAUCUCUGGAUUUGCUGAACCAGGAUUUUG